rnacentral:sRNA from 1 species
UCUUCCCCUUUUCUGUCUGGCCCGCGGCCCCGCUGCCUGCCCUGCUCCAAGCUCCGCCUGCGCCGCCGAUCGCCCGGGUAUCGCGGGGGCCCAGGCCAGCUGAGUCCGUUUUCCGCGCCGGGGUGGCGCCCCUCCAACCGUCCUAACGCCGGUCCGGCAGCAAGGAGUGUUCCUGGGACCUCAGAGACCAGGCUCAGAGCCUGACAUCCCUGCGAGGGGACAGCCUCAUCCGCCCAGGCCGGUGGGGGUCUCUACAAGUGCCCAGGCUCAGGUGCAGCCCCCAGCAAUGCAUCGCCGGAGACUGGCCCUGGGUCUGGGGUUCUGCCUGUUGGCGGGCACAAGCCUCAGUGUCCUGUGGGUGUAUCUUGAGAACUGGCUGCCAGUCUCCUAUGUCCCCUAUUAUCUCCCCUGCCCAGAGAUCUUCAACAUGAAGCUGCACUACAAGAGGGAGAAGCCACUCCAGCCCAUGGUAUGGUAAGGAGACUGGCAUUUCCUCUUUUGUGGCCGUGAGGGUGGUGGCUCUCCUCCACCACUGGUCCUUCUUGGUUGCAGGUCACAGUACCCUCAGCCCAAGCUGCUGGAGCACAGGCCCACACAGCUGCUGACACUCACACCCUGGUUGGCGCCCAUCGUCUCCGAGGGAACCUUCAACCCAGAGCUCCUGCAGCACAUCUACCAGCCACUGAACCUGACCAUUGGGGUCACGGUGUUUGCCGUGGGGAAGUGAGUAGUGGGCUGGGGAAGGGGAGGGAGGUCUCCCUGAGCCACGGGAGUUUAUAGUUGGGAAGAGACCAGACCAGACGUGCACACAGGACCCUGCUGGGCACCCGGGAGGCUCGGAACCAGGUGCCAAGCAGAUAGAAAGUACAGUGUAGGGUGCGAUAGUGGGAUGGGGGCUUCCUGGAGUAGGGGAUCUGGCUCUAGCAUAGACAGGAUGCAGAGUCCAGGUGAGGGGACAGCAGGAGCCUUUGUCAGGAGGCCCCCUUGCCCCUCCCUGUUUCAUGUAGACCCCUCCUCUGCCCUCGUCUCUCCCAUGACCCCACCUGGCCUUCCUUUAGGAGCUGCCGCUUGGCAGCCUCCCUCUGGGCCUCUGGGACUCCUUCCUGGAACUUCCUGGGGCCCUAAAGCAUGGCCAGAUGAUGAAUGGUCCACCUAGGGUCAGGUGACCCCCUUGUCCAAUGAGUUUUGGCCUGGGGGCAGGGCUGUGUCAACCACACCCCCCUCCAUGCCCCCAGCAUCUAGCUCAACUUGCCUUCCCUUGAUUCAUCCACUUACCUGCUUCUGCACUACUUUCUUCUCUGUGAUCCUCAAUGUUCCUGCCUGUAAAAUGGGCAUGCUUAUGCAGAUCAAAGAUCAUAAGAAUUCUUAGAACGUCACUGGGCACUUAGAAAUUGCUCAGUAAAAGUUCACCUGGCCUAGGAGCAUAAGAAUCUCUACCAGGAACAUGCUUACAACAGCCGUAAGAGGCUGGUACCAGCAUUUUGGGAAUUGGACAAAUGAGGACCCAGAGGGCCAGAGCAGAGUGACAUCUUGAGAUAGGGAGCUGGUAAGUGGACCCCAGCCUGGCUGACCCCAGCAUACAGUGGGGACCCUGGCAGGCUGCUGGUGUAGCAGUGGGUGACCGGGUGAUCAUCACUAGGUACACUCAUUUCAUCCAGUCCUUCCUGGAGUCAGCCGAGGAGUUCUUCAUGCGUGGGUACCGGGUGCACUACUACAUCUUCACUGACAACCCUGCAGCCAUUCCCGGCAUCCCGCUGGGUCCCCACCGGCUCCUCAGCUCCAUCCCCAUCCAGGGUCACUCCCACUGGGAGGAGACAUCCAUGCGCCGGAUGGAGACCAUCAGCCAGCACAUUGCUAAGAGGGCUCACCGGGAGGUGGACUACCUCUUCUGCCUUGAUGUGGACAUGGUGUUUCGGAACCCGUGGGGCCCUGAGACCUUGGGAGACCUGGUGGCUGCCAUUCACCCAAGCUACUACGCCGUUUCCCGCCAGCAGUUCCCCUAUGAGCGCAGGCGUGUUUCCACUGCCUUUGUGGCAGACAGCGAAGGGGACUUCUAUUAUGGUGGGGCAGUCUUCGGGGGGCAGGUGGCCAGGGUAUAUGAGUUUACUAGGGGCUGCCACAUGGCCAUCCUGGCGGACAAGGCCAAUGGCAUCAUGGCAGCCUGGCGGGAGGAAAGCCAUCUAAACUGUCACUUCAUCUCAAACAAGCCGUCCAAGGUGCUGUCCCCCAAGUACCUCUGGGACGACAGGAAGCCCCAGCCACCCAGCCUGAAGCUGAUCCGCUUUUCUACACUGGACAAGGAUAUCAGCUGCCUGAGGAGCUGACCACGGAGCUGGGGGUUGCCAUGGAUGGGGACCCAAAGACCUGCAGCCACCAGUGCUUCACUAGCGUGCAGACCAGCCCUGUCCCGCCUCCCUGUCAGUCAAGCGAAUUCAACCGGAAAAGGGACGUGGAAAGGCCACUGUGAACUGCAGAGGGCUGUGCACACAGUAGCACACAGGAUCUCACAGUAACGCGGCAUAGGAACGGUGAGACGGGGAGGGGAGGCGCAGUUACAAAGGCAGGGCCCGGCAGGCUUGCCACGUUCUGCAGCCGUGCCUUUGCGGGGCAGGCUCUGAAGCCUCAGCCCGACUCAGAGUGCCUGAACCCUGCCGCGCCAGUCCCCCGUUUAUUGCAUAUUGCCCUUAACGUAGCAUUUCUAAUACCCUGGUGUGAAGGCGCCCUAGACCCCUUUUCUCUGGUCACAGGGGUCCUGGGUCCCUUGAUGUCUCCCAACCACAUGUAGCCAAUUCCUCACUCAGGCCCCCAGAGUGAGCCUUUGAAAUGGAGCAGGUCUAGGCUCCCUCGGUUUCCUGCACCCCAAAGUGAGCCGCACUCUCAGGGGACUAGCCACCUCCUUCUUAAGAGGGUUUGAGGCAGUUUAUAAUAAAGGGGGCGUGUGCUCGA